CAGCAGCCACGGUAAUACGUAGGUGGCAAGCGUUGUCCGGAAUUAUUGGGCGUAAAGGGCUCGCAGGCGGUUUCUUAAGUCUGAUGUGAAAGCCCCCGGCUCAACCGGGGAGGGUCAUUGGAAACUGGGAAACUUGAGUGCAGAAGAGGAGAGUGGAAUUCCACGUGUAGCGGUGAAAUGCGUAGAGAUGUGGAGGAACACCAGUGGCGAAGGCGACUCUCUGGUCUGUAACUGACGCUGAGGCACGAAAGCGUGGGGAGCAAACAGGAUUAGAUACCCCGGUAGUCCCUGUCUCUUAUAC
rnacentral:rRNA from 1 species